rnacentral:rRNA from 1 species
UGAUUAAGCCAUGCAAGUCGAGAGGGUUUAGACCCUCGGCGGACUGCUCAGUAACACGUGGAUAACCUGCCCUAAGGUGGAGCAUAACCCCGGGAAACUGGGGAUAAUACUCCAUAGAUUAGAGAUACUGGAAUGUUCUUUAGUCAAAAGUUCCGGCGCCUUAGGAUGGAUCUGCGGUCGAUUAGGUUGUUGUUGGGGUAACGGCCCAACAAGCCUGUAAUCGAUACGGGUUGUGGGAGCAAUAGCCCGGAGAUGGAAUCUGAGACAAGAUUCCAGGCCCUACGGGGCGCAGCAGGCGCGAAAACUUUACAAUGCAGGAAACUGUGAUAAGGGAACCCCGAGUGCCCGUAUACGCGGGCUGUCCAGGUGUUUAAAAGUCAUCUGAAGAAAGGGCCGGGCAAGACCGGUGCCAGCCGCCGCGGUAAUACCGGCGGCUCGAGUGGUGGCCACUAUUAUUGGGCUUAAAGCGUCCGUAGCUGGACUGAUAAGUCUCUUGGGAAAUCCGCCGGCUCAACCGGCGGGCGUCUAAGGGAUACUGUUGGUCUAGGGACCGGGAGAGGUGAGAGGUACUCCGGGGGUAGGAGUGAAAUCCUGUAAUCCCCGGGGGACCACCGAUGGCGAAGGCAUCUCACCAGAACGGCUCCGACAGUGAGGGACGAAAGCUGGGGGAGCAAACCGGAUUAGAUACCCGGGUAGUCCCAGCCGUAAACUAUGCGCGUUAGGUGUGCUGGUGACCACGUGUCACCGGGGUGCCGAAGGGAAACCGUGAAACGUGCCGCCUGGGAAGUACGGUCGCAAGGCUGAAACUUAAAGGAAUUGGCGGGGGAGCA